rnacentral:rRNA from 1 species
ACGUAGGGUGCAAGCGUUAAUCGGAAUUACUGGGCGUAAAGCGUGCGCAGGCGGUUUUGUAAGACAGAGGUGAAAUCCCCGGGCUCAACCUGGGAACUGCCUUUGUGACUGCAAGGCUGGAGUGCGGCAGAGGGGGAUGGAAUUCCGCGUGUAGCAGUGAAAUGCGUAGAUAUGCGGAGGAACACCGAUGGCGAAGGCAAUCCCCUGGGCCUGCACUGACGCUCAUGCACGAAAGCGUGGGGAGCAAACAG